rnacentral:rRNA from 1 species
UACGUAGGGGGCUAGCGUUGCUCGGAAUCACUGGGCGUAAAGCGCACGUAGGCGGCCUCUUAAGUCGGUGGUGAAAUCCUGGAGCUCAACUCCAGAACUGCCUUCGAUACUGGGAGUCUCGAGUUCGGGAGAGGUGAGUGGAACUUCGAGUGUAGAGGUGAAAUUCGUAGAUAUUCGCAAGAACACCAGUGGCGAAGGCGGCUCACUGGCCCGAUACUGACGCUGAGGUGCGAAAGCGUGGGGAGCAAACAGG